CACAAAAGUAAUAUUAAAAUAUUAGAAAAUUUUAUCUUCAAUAGCAGUAGAAGUCAUCUGUGGUUCUCAGAAUUUUGAUUUGUCUUAAUUUUUAUCCUUUUAGAUUUUCAAAAAUUUCAAGUUUUCAUUUUGUAAUAAAAAUACCAUAAGCAGAAAAAACCCAUGUAAUAACUAUUAAGUUUUAAGAACAUCUGUGAAGGAUAUCAGAAUGGUUCUUGGCUCCAUUCUAAAUUGUAGAGUGAUGAUAUAUUAAGUGUCUUCACCGUGGUAAUUCUGUGCAAUGGCACUUGUAUAUAUGCAUAUCAAACCGCCAUGUUGGAUGCUUUGACUUCCUUAGUCCUCACUUGACAGGGAAGUGUAUUGAAGUCAGGAAAGCUUGUGGGCAUAUGAACUGUGGGCUGUGUGUGCAAACCUGAGUAUGGUGUGCCCAAGCCGUGCUGUGCUCUAGUGGAACCACAGAACCCGGAACUUAAAUAGUAACUGUCAAAUCACAAAGCCCUGAGGUCUGUUGGAAGCUACCAAAAGCUGCAGGGAGGGCUAUGAAGGUCUCAGGUCCCAGGACUCCCUUGAAUCAUGCACGCUUUGAACUCAAAGCGCAGACAGGUGUUUCAUGCUGUGGGUUCCUUAGGAUGUAAGCACCGGGCUCUGAAGGACUACAGUGAAAAUUCUUGAAUCAUCCGAGAGUCUGUGCACUGCCCCUCGCCCACCGUACUUGACUUUCCUGAGGAUGACCUCGAAGGCAAACUGCCUUUACAGAGAAUGUUUCGAGGAUGAAGGACAACUGUAAGAAGCUCUGUGCUGUGCAGGUUUGAAGCAGCCAUGUGAUAAGCAACAUCAUCUCCUUUAUCAUCUACAGCAGAUCCAGCCUUCUCUGUAGCCCCCGGGACUACAGAUGCUAGCUUACGAGAAAUGCUAAGCAACUGAGAGCAUUCCCAGGCACGAGAAGGCAGGAGGCAGCAAUGCCAAGGAGGAUGCUCUGACUUCUCGCAUCUAUGCUGAAGGAGGUGCAAGCAGGGGAGAUGGGCUAGGCUUGCUCUCACCUUAGAGUAGAACAUUCAUUCCUUUCCCCAAGAUUGCCCAGAGCCAUCAGUGGGAAGCCUAAUCCAUUUCAUCUCCCACAUAAUAGUCUGAGAGGUACACCUAGCAUCCUUGACAGGAAGACUGAGGAUGGAAACCAACUACUCCUGGGCCUAGGAGAGAGGACAUGUAUCUAAUCUUCCCAGUUAUUACCUCCUUCUUGAAGCACUUGGCAUGUUCUUCACAGCCCAGAAGAGACUGUACGAACUCAGCCACCUACGACACAGGACAAAAGAGAUGAAUUUAAAACAUACACUUGAAAUAAACUUGGGGGUUUGGAGUAACUCAACUUGCAGAUAAAAAAACACCCCAAGGUCCAAACACUUGGAAUUUAAAUAGUAACUAUCAAAUCACAUUACCAUAUUUUUAGCUCA